GCGUGCUUAACACAUGCAAGUCGAACGAUGAACCUGGAGCUUGCUCUGGGGGAUUAGUGGCGAACGGGUGAGUAACACGUGAGUAACCUGCCCUUGACUCUGGGAUAACCUCCGGAAACGGAAGCUAAUACCGGAUAUGACGUGCGGAGGCAUCUCCUGUACGUGGAAAGAAUUUCGGUCAAGGAUGGACUCGCGGCCUAUCAGGUAGUUGGUGAGGUAAUGGCUCACCAAGCCUACGACGGGUAGCCGGCCUGAGAGGGUGACCGGCCACACUGGGACUGAGACACGGCCCAGACUCCUACGGGAGGCAGCAGUGGGGAAUAUUGCACAAUGGGCGCAAGCCUGAUGCAGCAACGCCGCGUGAGGGAUGACGGCCUUCGGGUUGUAAACCUCUUUUAGUAGGGAAGAAGCGAAAGUGACGGUACCUGCAGAAAAAGCACCGGCUAACUACGUGCCAGCAGCCGCGGUAAUACGUAGGGUGCGAGCGUUGUCCGGAAUUAUUGGGCGUAAAGAGCUCGUAGGCGGUCUGUCGCGUCUGCUGUGAAAACCCGAGGCUCAACCUCGGGCCUGCAGUGGGUACGGGCAGACUAGAGUGCGGUAGGGGAGAAUGGAAUUCCUGGUGUAGCGGUGGAAUGCNCANNUAUCAGGAGGAACACCGAUGGCGAAGGCAG
rnacentral:rRNA from 1 species